CAAGGGGCGUUCUGUAGGCACACACUGCCCAGCUGAACAGGAGGUGUGUGUGCGAGUGUGUGUGUGUGUGUGUGUGUGUGUGUGUGCGUGCGCGUGCCUGCCGCGCUGUAGGAAAGGGAGCAUUCCACCCCCACCCUCAACUUUAAUCUGCCAUCUCCCAGAGUUGUUAGACCCAUCACAGAACAUGACUUUGUUUACAGCAAACUCCAGAAGCACAAGAGGGAAAGUUACAGAAGCGCAUGUUUGGACAAGCAACAAGUGGCCCCUUUUGUGUCGCCGGAAUUCAGUGCAAAUGCAGCCUCCGCUACUGUGCUCUUCCGAAGUGGCGGCAGAUGAGAGCAUGGAGGCGAAGCGUAGGGAUGACGGCAGAUGAGUCCAUUGUCCUCGAGCGCGGUGGCAGCGGGGACACCCAUCACCAGCACAAUGACGUCACCGGAAAAGCUGAAAGAAUAGCUACGGCUGCAGAUGUCUUCUAAUUACGAGAAAGAAAUCGAGGACUACUCUGACCAAUAAAGAUUACUGCGCAGGUUAUACAUUUGUUACUACAGAAUUACUCGAAGAUCCCACACAUGCAAUUCAGAUACUCGGCCACUGGAGGAGGAGGCUGAUCUUUCGCACCGUCCCGGACAGAGGUUCACGACACGACGUCAGCGGACGACGGAGAGGACCUGCGGCCUCAUACACGUCUGAACUUAUAAAGAACAUCUCAUGGGGCUGCCAGUUUUGACAACGUGUCCCCUGCCAAUUCUUGACUAUUUUCACCGGGGGCUUGGACACAAAUACGGGAGGCAUUUGCUGCAGAGCAUUUUGUUAACUGGCAGUAAAACAAGUUGGCGAGUGGCGAUUAAAUUAACUGUAGUCUCUUCCACAGUGUUUACAGCUCAUGGUUGCUUUUCCUGAUCAAUAACAAGAUGAUGAGUGCUGGACAUGUUCAUGGGCACGUGUGUGUUUAAUUUCUUUUUUUUUUUUUUUUAAAUAUACUAGCUUAUCCGGUGGUAUAUUAAAAAUUAACUGCACUCAAGAAUCACGCGUCCGCAUCCAAACCUCUGCUUCUGUCGAGGUAACGGCCUUUUUUUAAACACUCUA